rnacentral:tRNA from 1 species
UAAAGACUUAGGAUAACUAAACCAAGAGCCUUCAAAGCUCCAAAUAGGAAUGAGAACCUCCUAGUUUUU